AGGUAAGCUACUAAGAGCGAAUGGUGGAUGCCUUGACUGGUAAAGGCGAUGAAGGACGUACUAGACUGCGAUAAGCUACGGGGAGCUGUCAAGAAGCUUUGAUCCGUAGAUUUCCGAAUGGGGCAACCCAAUGUAUAGAGAUAUACAUUACCUAUAUAGGAGCGAACGAGGGGAAUUGAAACAUCUUAGUACCCUCAGGAAAAGAAAUCAAUAGAGAUUGCGUCAGUAGCGGCGAGCGAAAGCGCAAGAGGGCAAACCCAGUGCUUGCACUGGGGGUUGUAGGACUGCAAUGUGCAAGAGGUGAGUUUAGCAGAACAUUCUGGAAAGUAUAGCCAUAGAGGGUGAUAGUCCCGUAUGCGAAAAACAAACCUUAGCUAGCAGUAUCCUGAGUAGGGCGGGACACGAGAAAUCCUGUCUGAAGCUGGGUCGACCACGAUCCAACCCUAAAUACUAAUACCAGAUCGAUAGUGCACAAGUACCGUGAGGGAAAGGUGAAAAGAACUGAGGUGAUCAGAGUGAAAUAGAACCUGAAACCAUUUGCUUACAAUCAUUCAGAGCCCUAUGUAGCAAUACAGGGUGAUGGACUGCCUUUUGCAUAAUGAGCCUGCGAGUUGUGGUGUCUGGCAAGGUUAAGCAAACGCGAAGCCGUAGCGAAAGCGAGUCUGAAUAGGGCGCUUAGUCAGAUGCUGCAGACCCGAAACGAAGUGAUCUAUCCAUGAGCAAGUUGAAGCUAGUGUAAGAACUAGUGGAGGACUGAACCCAUAGGCGUUGAAAAGCCCCGGGAUGACUUGUGGAUAGGGGUGAAAGGCCAAUCAAACUUCGUGAUAGCUGGUUCUCUCCGAAAUAUAUUUAGGUAUAGCGUUGUGUCGUAAUAUAAGGGGGUAGAGCACUGAAUGGGCUAGGGCAUACACCAAUGUACCAAACCCUAUCAAACUCCGAAUACCUUAUAUGUAAUCACAGCAGUCAGGCGGCGAGUGAUAAAAUCCGUCGUCAAGAGGGAAACAACCCAGACUACCAGCUAAGGUCCCUAAAUCUUACUUAAGUGGAAAACGAUGUGAAGUUACUUAAACAACCAGGAGGUUGGCUUAGAAGCAGCCAUCCUUUAAAGAAAGCGUAAUAGCUCACUGGUCUAGUGAUUUUGCGCGGAAAAUAUAACGGGGCUAAAGUAAGUACCGAAGCUGUAGACUUAGUUUACUAAGUGGUAGGAGAGCGUUCUAUUUGCGUCGAAGGUAUACCGGUAAGGAGUGCUGGAGCGAAUAGAAGUGAGCAUGCAGGCAUGAGUAGCGAUAAUUAAUGUGAGAAUCAUUAACGCCGUAAACCCAAGGUUUCCUACGCGAUGCUCGUCAUCGUAGGGUUAGUCGGGUCCUAAGUCGAGUCCGAAAGGGGUAGACGAUGGCAAAUUGGUUAAUAUUCCAAUACCAACAUUAGUGUGCGAUGGAAGGACGCUUAGGGCUAAGGGGGCUAGCGGAUGGAAGUGCUAGUCUAAGGUCGUAGGAGGUUAUACAGGCAAAUCCGUAUAACAAUACUCCGAGAACUGAAAGGCUUUUUGAAGUCUUCGGAUGGAUAGAAGAACCCCUGAUGCCGU
rnacentral:rRNA from 1 species